GGAGUUGUGGCUCAGUGAUAGAGUGCUUACCUGGCAGGUGUGAGGCCCUGAGUUCAAUCCUCAGCACCA
rnacentral:tRNA from 1 species